rnacentral:tRNA from 1 species
GGGGGUUUAGCUCAGCUGGGAGAGCGUCUGCUUGACGUGCAUAAGGUCGGCGGUUCGAGCCCGUCAACUCCCACCA